AGCGAACGUUAGCGGCGGGCCUAACACAUGCAAGUCGAACGGGCUGUAGCAAUACAGUCAGUGGCGCACGGGUGAGUAACGCGUAGAUAAUCUACCUUCCGGCGGGGGAUAACAUUCCGAAAGGAAUGCUAAUACCGCAUAAGACCACGAGGUCCUCGGGCCCCGAGGGAAAAGGUGGCCUCUCCUUGGAAGCCCUCCCCGGAAGAGGAGUCUGCGUCCCAUCUGCUAGUUGGUAAGGUAAUGGCUUACCAAGGCUAAGACGGGUAGCUGGUCUGAGAGGAUGAUCAGCCACACUGGUACUGGAACACGGACCAGACUCCUACGGGAGGCAGCAGUGGGGAAUAUUGGGCAAUGGGCGAAAGCCUGACCCAGCCACGCCGCGUGAGUGAUGAAGGCCUUCGGGUUGUAAAGCUCUGUAGGAAGGGGCGAAAAACUCAGACCUAAUACGUCUGAGGUUGACGUUACCUUCUUAGCAAGCACCGGCUAACUCUGUGCCAGCCGCCGCCGUAACAC
rnacentral:rRNA from 1 species